UCUCAGAGAGCGCUGACUCUAAAAAUACCCGGCUCUGCAGAAGCACGCUGGGCCCAGGGGGGCUUCUAGACUGACAGCUCCAUUUAUCAACUACCUAUUGGUUUUAAAAAUUAGCGUGUCUUUUCCGCGUUGACUGAUUUUGGCUCUAAGAGAUUUCGCUGAUCAUUUCAGAGUGACUGAAACUCCCCUCUAACAGAUCCCGGGAAUUGUUUUUAGGAAAGGUAAAAGGCAGUCUUUUCUGUUGCAACACAAAGCUGAGCCGGCAGCCUGUCUUUGUCAGGAUGUGGGGCUCCAGCGCCCGAGAAGCCCAGCCUCGCCCGCAGUCAAGUUCACAGCGAGGCCGAGCGCUGCCUCGGCUGCGCGGCGCUCCCGGACCCACACCGACCGCACCGCGCGCCGCCGGUGCUUCUCCCACCCCAGCCUAGAAGCUGCCUCCCUCCGCCUAUCCCUGCAGGAUAAGAAGCCCGAGGAGGCGGAGCGUGGAACUCGACAGUUAAAACAUUUAAGAGAGAAAACUUAGUGUCUUGUUGGCCUGAAAUCGAGUACACAGCCCGGGGUGAUCAGGGGAUGUGUGAGAAUUGCUUCCCCUGGGCAAUAGGCGAUAUGUGCUUUAGGAGGAAGAUAUGUCUCCUCCUGAGCCCCAGAGGGGAGAACUUCCAAAGACAGAAAACCACAGGGUUCCUGGCACAGAGCUUUCCCUUUAUCAGCUAAAACAGAAUCUUUCCUGACCUCGACCUGGCCCCUUCCUCUAACUGUAGGCAGAGAGGCAGACAAGAAAGCACUUGGUGAAACACGGAGUUUUGUUCAAUCCUCAACGAACUGUCCAGAGUUGAUUGCUGAUAGCCGUGGUGCUUUCUGCCUUCCUGGUUUUCAUUUAAUUGGGUACCGCGCUGCCUUUCAAGACACCUUAAAGGAACCAACAGGCAAAUCCAAGAGAGCUGGACAGACCACUGAACACACAAUAGGCUGUGUCUCGUGGCCUUCGUUGUCUGGUGCCUCAAACAAAACACCAGAAAGAUUGUUUCUAAGCUAGAGCCACCCCAGGUUGCUCAAAGUGCAAAGCUCACUGCUACUGGGCGUACCCUUGUGAGACACUGGAAAGCUGGUUUUACUGUGGCCCUGUGAAGAGGAAGGCUGAGAUUUAGACAGUAAUACCUUUACUGGGAUUGGAAAAGAUUUGGUUAAUGACAGUCCUGUCAUUUCUAAAACCCAUUAUCACUGUAUGAGAGAUUCUUUUGAGCUGCAUCCUCGACAGUGCUUCCUAAGCUAAGUACCUUGGAAACUAUUCAGCAGACGAUGAUAAAGAACUCUGAAAGCUAGCAGAAAAGAAGGUCUACUUGCAAGAAACCUCAGGACUUGAGAAACAGCAACAUGCAACCUUGUCUUUGACCUCGCCUGGCAUCCUGUGUGGUCAUGAGCCACAGAGAUGGAAAAGGCAACGUGGUAGAGGCAAGAGGAGGCAGGAGGUGGAAAAGAAGGACUAUCAGUUUGUUGAUGAAUACGUCACCUUUGCUUCAGUUAAAUCAAGUAGGAUGCAGUGACUCCAAGUCUGAGGGGUACUUCCCAGGAAGAGCAACCCCCCACAGCCAUUUGCAGAGCAUCGGAUCUUGGAGGUGCCUGAAGAUGUCUACAACUGGAAGAAAAGAAGCCACUGGAGCGGAAGGCGGGGAGGAUAAAGUUUGGAGCAAGAUUCUCAAGGAAGCAACAAGAUCCUAAGGCAAGUAAAUCUGAGUUUAGUUGGGAAAAGGAGGAUCAUUAGAAGACCAGGAGGGAAAGAAAAGGUGGUAGCGAGGCGUCUAGCCACUCUGUAUGGAGCGUUUCUGAGGUUGCUACCAGCACAGGGUGAGCACACUGCUCCGUGGGAGGGAUAUGAGACCUUGAAUACAGGAGUUGCUGUUGGGAAUGUGAAAUUUUUUCAACAAGAGGUCAGUACUGAAAGUGAUAGAGGCCCGGAACUAUAACCCGCUACACAACCAGGAAUUCCCAUUUUGACCAGUUACUAGCCAGGUUUGGGAACCCAAGGAUUAAUGCAGAGAAGGUGAGCGUGUACAGGUAUUCCUCCGGGUUGGGGAUUAACAAUGCAGAUUUGACAAAAAGUUGACAAUUCUUGGAAAGUAAAUAUGUCUCUCAGAAGGACCCGUAAUGACGGAAAAUGAUGGCUUAAUAUUUGUAACAUUAAAGUCCCAAGAGGAGAGGAUAAUGAGUGAGGAGCUGAAAAAAGUUUGAAAAAAUUAUGAUUAAAAAUAUUUCUGAAUUUGGCAAAACACAUAGACUUGUAGAUUUGAGAAGCUCAGAGAAUCCCAAACAGAAUAAGCUCAAAGAGAUUCUCACUUAAGAGACAUCAUAAGGAAACUACUGAAAACUAGAAACAAAGGAAUUAUCUUGAAAGCAGCAAUGAAAAAUGACAUUGUUUAUAAAAUUACAAUUAUUUAAAGGGUGUAGAUUUCUCAUCAGAAACCAUAGAGGCCAGGUCAGGCACUGUGGUGUAGGCUGUAAUCCCAGCACUUUGGGAGGCCCAGGUGGGUGAAUCACUUGAGGUCAGGAGUUCAAGACCAGCCUGGGCAAAACCUGGGCAAAACCCUGUCUCUACUAAAAAAUAUGAAACUUAGCCAGACGCUGUGGUAUGUGCCUGUAGUCCCAGCUACUCAGGAAGCUGAGGCAGGAGAAUUGCUUGAACCUGGGAGGCAGAGGUUGCAGUGAGCCAAGAUUGCGCCACUGCACUCCAGCCCAGGCGACAGAGCAUAGAAGCCAGAAUGCAAUAGAACAUUUCAAAAAACCUUGUUUUGAAAAAAUUAAGUUUCAUAAUGUCUCGUGUUCACUUUCUCUGAUUUUCCCUAGUGAUUAACAUCUUACCUAACUAUAGUAUAAUAUCAAAACCAGGAAAUCCACAUUGGUACAAUGUAUGUGUGUGCAUGUGUGUAUGAAGUUCUAUGCCGUUUUUAUCACAGAUGUAGACUGAUGCACGUUCAGCCACAAUCAAGAUACAGAACUGUGCCAUCACAACAAAGUUCUCCCUCAUGUUGUCCCUUUAAAGUCACACCCACUGCUCUCCCAUGACCCCAUCCAUCACUAACCCCUGGCAACCAUUACUCUGGUCUCCAGUUCUACAAUUUUGUAAUAUUGAGCAUUUUACAUAAAUGGAAUUAUACAAUA